rnacentral:rRNA from 1 species
GAUGAACGCUAGCGGCAGGCUUAAUACAUGCAAGUCGUGGGGCAGCAUGAGUGUAGCAAUACAUUUGAUGGCGACCGGCAAACGGGUGCGGAACACGUACACAACCUUCCUUUAAGUGGGGAAUAGCCCAGAGAAAUUUGGAUUAAUACCCCGUAACAUAUAGAAGUGGCAUCACUUUUAUAUUAUAGCAGCAAUGCGCUUGAAGAUGGGUGUGCGGCUGAUUAGAUAGUUGGCGGGGUAACGGCCCACCAAGUCGACGAUCAGUAACUGGUGUGAGAGCACGAACAGUCACACGGGCAAUGAGACACGGGCCCGACUCCUACGGGAGGCAGCAGUAAGGAAUAUUGGUCAAUGGACGCAAGUCUGAACCAGCCAUGCCGCGUGGAGGAUGAAGGUCCUCUGGAUUGUAAACUUCUUUUAUCUGGGAAGAAAUCUACCUUUUCUUGGGUAGUUGACGGUACCAGGUGAAUAAGCACCGGCUAACUCCGUGCCAGCCGCCGCAGUAACAC